rnacentral:rRNA from 1 species
GCAGUCGAGCGGUAACAUUUCAAAGCUUGCUUUGAAGAUGACGAGCGGCGGACGGGUGAGUAAUGCUUGGGAAUAUGCCUUAUGGUGGGGGACAACAGUUGGAAACGACUGCUAAUACCGCAUAAUGUCUACGGACCAAAGGGGGGGGAUCUUCGGACCUCUCGCCAUUUGAUUAGCCCAAGUGAGAUUAGCUAGUUGGUGAGGUAAUGGCUCACCAAGGCGACGAUCUCUAGCUGGUUUGAGAGGAUGAUCAGCCACACUGGGACUGAGACACGGCCCAGACUCCUACGGGAGGCAGCAGUGGGGAAUAUUGCACAAUGGGCGCAAGCCUGAUGCAGCCAUGCCGCGUGUGUGAAGAAGGCCUUCGGGUUGUAAAGCACUUUCAGUAAGGAGGAAAGGGAUGUAGUUAAUAGCUGCAUUCUGUGACGUUACUUACAGAAGAAGCACCGGCUAACUUCGUGCCAGCAGCCGCGGUAAUACGAGGGGUGCAAGCGUUAAUCGGAAUUAUUGGGCGUAAAGAGUUCGUAGGCGGGAUGCUCAGUCCGGCGUGAAAGCCCCCGGCUCAACCGGGGAGGGUCGCUGGAUACUGGCAUUCUCGAGCAGGGCAGAGGUUGGCGGAAUUCCAG